UCUGCAGCUUCGCAACCGCAGUUUUAUAGGGAAAAAGGUUCCUUAGCAGUUCCUCGUUGGUUUGAAAAGGGUUGUUUGGUUUUCUUGCUGUCUGUCUGUCUUUUUUUUAACACUUCAUGGUGUUUCUUCUCCUCUUUUCCUGUCCCCCUUUUCCGUGGCCGGAGUCCAAACGACGAGAAAAAGAGAGUUUCAGCACCAAGGAAAGGAGGGGGAAAAAAAAAGGAACGCGGCUGAUGCUUUAAAAAAAUAAAAAUAAAAUAAGAGCAGAGCCUUGAAAUUUCAGCAAGAAAUUGAAUGCAUAUCGACUCAAGGAUUUAUCAGCCAAAGAUUCCAUUUUAGCACCUUCCUAUUAGGACUAAAUAUAGGAGACAUAACAUGAACAGAUCCAACUGGAAUGAUUCACAGGCUUUUAUCUUCCUGGUCACCUGUUUGAGGAACAAUGGAAUGAUCAGAUCAUCAUCGUCUUCAUGAGCUUCGGAUGGGAAGUGGCAGCUUUUACAGUCAACAGCACUUCCUCCCAGGUGGAAGAGUCCUGGAAUUGUUUUCAUGACUCCCUCCACGAGGUUGGCUGAAUCCCUGCGGAAAUGUAUGAAAUUGUGCUUCUGAUGCCUGGCCAUUUGCUACUGAAUCCUUAUGGUACCAUUGCAGGACUCUAUGAUGAGCCUCUCAAAGCAGCUUAAACCAUCCUAGAAUAUCCGAUCUGAUUUAGAAGACAGUUAGAAACCUUUCUGUGUAUUUUUAAACUCCAGCAGUGGUAACAUCUACACAUCAGGAAGAAACUGAGGCAGGAAGAGAAGCAGACUGCCCAAACUUUGCUAAAAGCAUCUUGUAAAGUAAAGGAAUCUCUUAGGGAGCAUGACAGGAGGGCAAUACAGGUGUGUAGAAAAUAUGUUUUGGGUUUCACAUUUGUCUGACUAUCUUUUUUUGUGCAUAAAGCUAAAUGGAUUUAAGAACAAAUCUUGCUGUUGCUGAGAUACCCAUUUUAUUCCUAAAAAAUCUCUGAGCCAAUACUCAGAGGUGGUUGGAUCUUUGACUUUUGAAUUGCUGCCUCCAACAUAACACACAAAGCUUCCUACAGACCAUAAACCAUCAGAAAUAAUGCCCCUCUGCCUUACAGGAUGUCCUCAACUUAUGACAACAAUUGGAGGCAGAAUUUUCAUUGCUCAGCAAGGCGGUUGUUAAGUGAGUUAUCUCCAAUUUUAUGACAUUUUUUGCCACAGUUAAAUGAUUCACAGCAGCUGUUCAGUGAUUCAUGCAGUCAUUAAGUGAAUCCAUCUCCCCCAAUUGAUUUUGCUUAUGGGAAAAUUGCAAAGGGUGAUCAUAUGACCCCAGUAAGCUGGAACCAAUGUAAAUUCUUAUUGGUUGUCAACACCCAAAUUUUGAUGUAACCAUGGGAAUGCUGCGAUGGUCGUAAGUGCAAGGACUUGUUAUAAGUCACUUUUUUCAAUGUUGUAACUUAAAAUGGUUGCUUAAAAAAUGGUUGUUAGUCAAGGAUUACCUGUGAGGGAUCUGCAACACUGCUGAGUGUUGUGCAAAAUCAAGUUUAUUAAAAACAACAGAUCCCACAAUACAAUUGCAUUAAAACAUGCUACUUGAGAUAUUGGUUGUUUACUCUUCUUUAAAUGCCCAACUUGAUUGGUUGAAAAAGAUUGAAAAGUAAAAUGCAUUUAAAACCUACUUAAAGGAAGGCUGUUGUAAUGUCCUGCUGGGCGUGAGCUCCAUGUAAGCAGCCACCCUAAAAUCCAGCUUCAAAUGGCAGCCGGUUAAAAUAGCUGUCAUUAGAGGCCUUCCUAGUCGUAGUAAUCUUACUUCAUAUAUUUGCAAACAAAGAGGAUAGCACUGAUUAGUCUUCUUCAAACACUUUGCUCUCCAGAAGAGAAGGCUUAGGGGAUUCUCAUCAUUUCCAAACAGCAUCUAAUGGUGUUUCCCCCAUUUUUAGGGAAUAAGACUAAUGUUACCACAUUAGGAAUCAGGAUCCAUGCACAACAAUGUUUUGAAGUCCUGCAGUUUGGCCGAACUGGCAUUUGAACUCUUGAUCCAGUUCUAGUACCACAAUGACCGCACUUAAACUAUCAAUAACAACCUCAAAGUAGCUCAGGGAAGUUUAAGGAAGUGAAUUCUGUGAAGAACAACUGGGGGCUCACAGGGCACAAUCAGCCUUAAAAAAAUGACUGGAGGUGGAGUAAUAGCUCUCUUCAAGUAUCUGAAGAAGUAUCCUACAGAUAAAGAUAACUCUCUAGAGCAUGGAAUAACAACUUUCUGUCUUCUCAUGGAAAGGCAAAUUCCAGAAGUUUAUGAAAAAGUCUAUUAAUGAUAGUGGCAAUUAAAAUAGAUAGUCCUUGAUAUACAACCAAAACUGAACCCAUUUUCCAUUGCAAAGCAAGACAGUUGUUAAGUGAGUUUCCCCCCAUUUUACCACUCUUCUUCCCACAGAUGUUAAGUGAAUCACUGCAGUUGUUAACUAAGUAAAAAAAAGUGAAUCUGGCUUCCCCACUGAUGGAAAGACUUCAAACGUUAUGGUGUGUAGAGGUUGCCUCUUUAAAAAUCAGGUCAUUGUACCCUUUCCUAAUGGCUGCUGAGUACAAUUCAAGGCCCUGUUUAUUACCUACAUAGCCCUUCUUGACUUAAAUUCUGAUUUUACAGGGAUUGCCCAUUUUUUAUAGUACCUCCUCAUCCAAUAACAUCCAAUUGAGUGGAUGUUCUUUGUGUUUGUGUGUGUGUGCGUCAUUGUUGACUCUUGACAUCUGUUGGACAAAUUCCUGCAGUUUUCUUGACACAUUUUCAGAUGUGGUUUGCCAUUGCCUCCUUCCUAGGACUGAGAGUGAGUGACUGGCCCAAGGUCACCCAGCUGGCUUUGUGCCUAAAGUAAGAUUAGAACUCAUAAUCUCCUGUUUUGUAGCCUGAUGCCCUUCAACACUACAUCAACCCUGGCUCUCACAGUAACCGGCAUGUUUUAAAGAAACUAAAUAGAACUGCAAUGUUUGAGAAUAUAGAUGAGAGGCAGACAAAAAAUAUAUUGGCUUCAGAAUGAAAAAUGGAACACUUGAACACAUCUUCUUAUAUACCAUAAGUGGAAAAAGAGAUUGGCUCAUAAAUUAUUAUUCACCUAGAAAGCACCACAUUUAUGAGUUCAACUUUAUUGGUCUUAUCCACUAUUGGAGGAAAAAGGGCAAAAUAUGCAUCAAAAUGUGAUUUAUGAAUCGCAAUUAAAAUAAUGUUAAAUUAUAUUGUGUGUCAUUUUCAAUGUGUAAUAAUUAAAGAUGUACUGGGGAAAAAAGGAGAGGAGAAGACAAGUUGGGAGACACCCUUGCAACAUUUCAUGAUCUCCCUCCUUCCAGCCUAACGUAGCACAGCAAAUUCUCUCAUUAAAUACCUCUGAUGAAGAAAGGAAGUAAUUAGAGACAAAAGUGGAAAGCCUGGAGGGUCUGCUUCAUUUUUUGACUUCAGAACAAAACUCUCUUUCAGAAAAGAGAAACCUGAGUUUCAACAACAAUACCCUUCAUUUUAGAAAAAAAAAAAA